CUAAAUAAAGGGCCUGCCCCAACACUAUAAACUCUAGUGUUGUUAACUUUCGUGAGCCAGAGCAUAAAAAAACCGAUUACCAUCGAGGCUAGAUCUCCGAUAGGUCUGCGCACCCUCAAGAAUUCGAUGAACCGAUACUAUCGCUAGUGGUUAUCCCAGCUCUAAUUGACGCCAAGAAAUUAUACAUUACAUUGAUUUUGAAAAAUAUGUUAAACACUUCGGAGCAAUAGUAAACUGGUCUUAUCGGGAAACACAGUGUGCAAAACUCAAUUUCGACGGACGGAACGGAAAGGCUCGGGAAAUCACAUCACAAUAAGUCAUGCCACGGGGAAAACGCCGAGCUGCGGAUACUAUUAGUGACAACAUGGAUCAUGGUCAACCGAAGAGGGCCCGAACCAGCUACACCAGCAUACCCACACAACAGAGCAGCAGACGCCAUAUAAGAGCGGAGGAUGGCUUCAGUCAAAAACGUUGUUUGACAUGGUUCCAGGAAUACACCACUCCAGAUGAGCCAGAGACAUUAGGUCCCGAUGGCAUGGAGAAAUUCUGCGAGGAUAUCGGCGUGGAGCCUGAGAACAUUGUGAUGCUGGUGCUGGCCUACAAAAUGGGAGCCACCCAGAUGGGCUUCUUUAGCCAGCAGGAGUGGCUGAAGGGCCUCACAGAACUGGACUGCGAUUCGGCAGCGAAAAUGGUUGUGAAACUGGACUAUCUGCGCAGCAUACUCAACGAUCCCAACUCCUUUAAAAGCAUAUACAGAUACGCCUACGACUUUGCCAAGGACUCGGAUCAACGGUGUAUGGAUAUUGUCACUGCCAAAGCCAUGCUCCAACUCCUUCUGGGCAAGCACUGGCCUCUGUAUCCGCAGUUCGCACAGUUUCUGGAGCAGUCGAAGUACAAGGCGAUCAACAAGGAUCAGUGGUGUAAUAUUCUAGAGUUCUCGCGCACCAUCUGCAUUGAUUUAUCAAAUUACGACAUUGAUGGGGCAUGGCCCGUCAUGCUGGAUGAGUUUGUGGAAUGGCUGCGCCUGCAGCGGAGCCAGGUCACCUCGACUUCCGGGUCUAGCUGAGAGAAGCUUCACCGAGUCGCCUAUUUCUAGUUCAACUUUGGGAGCUCAGUGCGGAGGAGUUCGCGGAGGAGGAGAUGGGAUGCGAUGGGAAUGCGGAUAGGAUGAGAUCGGCGGAUAUAUAAGACACAACCACAGGACACUCACAUCCACACCCACGACCACAAACACAACCACAACCACACACUCACCCACACAGAAACACAAGGCAUUUUGGAGAGACUGCGUACACUGGCAAAGCAACCAACUAUGAAACUAAACUAUUGAUAAUAUAUUUAAUGCCCUCCCAUUGAAAAACAAAAAAAUCGAAAAGAAAAUGAGAAACAAGAAAAAGAACAGCAACAAGAGCCAAAAUGGGGGCAGCUUGUAAAAAGUAAACCCAGAAAAUGAAACGAUGGCAAUAACCAAGAGAUCCCCAAUAGACCUAAUCUAGAACAUACAAUUGAACUCAAGCGACCCCUUCAAGAUAUCAGCAAGCAUAGUCAAAAUCUCAACGAAAUUCAACACCAAUACUGGGGAAUUUGUAGUCGUUAUUAAAUCAAUGUAGAAAAAAAACAAAACAUUUGGGGACUAUUUAAUAAAAUUAUUAAGUAAAGAUGUC